GUCCCAGGAGGGCCAUGCUGGGCUUCAGUGUCCGCCUUGACUAGCUGAUGCUUCACGGAACUUUACCACUCUCCAAGCCACAUCUAAGAAGAGCCUUCUACACACCAAGCUUACUGAACUAGGAAUGUUAUUCCAAUAGAUAGUCUCACCAGAAGUUUGUGAAUGUUUCCAUCUCAAUGGACCUUCUCAGAGGUUUGGUCCAUCUCUCAGAGGAACUGGCUGGUACAAGAUUGUCUGGCAAGGUGUCGAAGGAGCUGGCCAGUUAGGCACUAUCACCAAGCUCCCUGGACAUGAAGAUGUUGGUUGUGUUUGGAAAAGGUUCUGAGAAUGCAGUGGUGGAUUGGACUCACUCUCUGCCAUGUGAGGACACGGAGAGAAGAUGGCCCUCUAUGAACCAGGCAGCAGGCCCUCACUAGACACUGAGUCAGCUGGCACCUUGAUCUUGAACUUCCCAGCCUCCAAAACUGUGAGAAAUAUGUUUGUUUAAGCCACCCAGUCUAUGCUGUUUUUGUUAUAGCAGCCUGAAUGGAUGAAAACAUCCUCCUA
rnacentral:lncRNA from 1 species